GGUACCUUCUGGGCAGCCUCCGGAGUCAAAUCAAGACUUGAGGUACCCUGGGGAGGCUUGUAGCCACACCUUGGAAGCGGCAGCACCGAAGAGCACACAUUGAGAACAUCUCAAUGUCCGCGUCCAACCGACGAUGGCUUUUGUCCGCUUGUCUUCCAAAAGCUAAGUGUCAGGGCCAGUGGUUGGGAGAAGGGGAAAAGCCUUUACUAUCACAGGAGGCAAUCUGAUGUCAGCUUAGCGGAGAGGUCUGUAGUGGGAAGGGCUCUCUGGAAGUAAAGGGAGAGGGUUUCUCCUCAGCCUCACCAGAGCCUUUGCUGGGCAGGACAGUUCCGACCCAUGUCCACAUUCUUGUGAACUUUGCGUCGUCAGCCUUCCUCAACUCGAUGUCGUCACGGCUCUUUCCCCUGAGGAACUCGCCUUCAGGUCUGGAGCUAUGGCCACGGUCACCCGGCCAUCCGCUUCCUUCUCUAGGCUUGCUGAGCCUCUUGAGCAUCCUCCUAACUGCUUUGGCCCUAACUUCUUUUAAUGAGCUACAUUUCAUCAUCACGUGCUGUCGUCAUAGGGCUUUCUUUCCUUUGGCCUCAUCGGCCUCUGGCUCGUCUUGCGCUAGGACUCUCGGGUCCCUACGGGGAAAGUGCCUAGCAGUUGCAACUUGUCUCUGGGUUAUGUCAUCUGUGUCUAUGUUAUGGUGUCCCUGUCUGUGGUAUGUAGUCUGUGUCCAUUGUCUUCCACGUCAUAGGCCUUUGUUACAUCUCGAUGCUUUAUCGGCACUCUUCUGUGCCAUAUAGGCCGUGUUCUACUCACAUUCCUUUCCGGAUAUCUCUUAUUCCGGCAUCUUUACAUUUUUACUCUUUGAGACAGGAAUGUCUCACAGGGACAAGAUGUUCUCAUCCAUCUUCCUUCUCACUACCCGCUUUGGUAGUGCCUUUUUUCCAUUUUCUUGGACUUCUAGAGGGUGCGUCUUACACCCUUCUCAUGUGACUGCAGUAGUUCUAUAGAUUCCAUCUUCUCAAAGGGUAUAGGGCUCAAGAAUUCAUCUUCCAGAGAGUUAUCUCCAGUCCUGGCUUGUAUAGUAUGUACCUAUAUUGUGUGUACCUAUAUUGACCUAUGUAUGUACUCACAUUGUAUGUACCUACGCUGGCUUGUACUGUAUGUACUUACAUUGUAUGUACCUAUGUUGGCUUAUACUGUGUGUACUUACACUGUAUGUAAGCGCGUUGCCCUAUAUUAUGUGUAUUUACGCUCUGUGUAUACUUGCACUGUAUGCAUCAGCUUAUAUUGUGUGUACUUACAUUGUACCACUUAUGAUCAGAGCUGCCCUGCCCUGGUAUGUAGUCACAGUUAGGUAGAACAGUUAUAGAAGUUUUACUGUUCAACUGUCUUCUAUGGGAUUUUGGGUAGAAAACUUAUCAGUCCAGAUUGGGGACAAGUCCCAGCUGUCAGAUAGCUGCUCAUUGACCCUUCCUGUCAUCUCACAGGUCCCCGACCCUGCUGACUUCCCCAGGAUCUGCCAUUUAUGUCAAGGAGUGGCAGCAAGAAGAUGUGUCAAAGCACGUUCUUCAGCGUCUCAGGUAAGGGCUGCAGUGAGCGUGUAAGUGGAAAGAAUGUGUGAGCGUGUGUGAGAGCACGUGGCUGUGUCUGUCUGUGUCUGCUCGUCUCUGCAUGUGUGAGCACAUGCUGACUGGAUUUAACCUUGUGUAUAUGACUUUUGCUUUUCAGGUUUUGCAACUCAUUGUUAAAUUUAGAAUAAAAAAUCCCCAGCUGCC